rnacentral:tRNA from 1 species
UAGGAUAUAGUAUAAAUGGGAGUACUAAGAGUUUUGAUCUCUUUGGUGCAGGUUCAAGUCCUGUUUUUCUAA